rnacentral:rRNA from 1 species
AGCGAACGCUGGCGGCAGGCUUAACACGUGCAAGUCGAACGCCCCGCAAGGGGAGUGGCAGACGGGUGAGUAACACGUGGGAACGUACCCUUUGGUUCGGGAUAACUCAGGGAAACUUGAGCUAAUACCGGAUAAGCCCUUAUGGGGAAAGAUUUAUCGCCGAAGGAUCGGCCCGCGUCCGAUUAGCUAGUUGGUGAGGUAACGGCUCACCAAGGCGACGAUCGGUAGCUGGUCUGAGAGGAUGAUCAGCCGCACUGGGACUGAGACACGGCCCAGACUCCUACGGGAGGCAGCAGUGGGGAAUAUUGGACAAUGGGGGCAACCCUGAUCCAGCCAUGCCGCGUGAGUGAUGAAGGCCCUAGGGUUGUAAAGCUCUUUUACCCGGGACGAUAAUGACUGUACCGGGAGAAUAAGCCCCGGCUAACUUCGUGCCAGCCGCCGCAGUAA